GGUUAAGCGACUAAGCGUACACGGUGGAUGCCUAGGCAGUCAGAGGCGAUGAAGGGCGUGCUAAUCUGCGAAAAGCGUCGGUAAGCUGAUAUGAAGCGUUAUAACCGACGAUACCCGAAUGGGGAAACCCAGUGCAAUACGUUGCACUAUCGUUAGAUGAAUACAUAGUCUAACGAGGCGAACCGGGGGAACUGAAACAUCUAAGUACCCCGAGGAAAAGAAAUCAACCGAGAUUCCCCCAGUAGCGGCGAGCGAACGGGGAGGAGCCCAGAGUCUGAAUCAGUUUGUGUGUUAGUGGAAGCGUCUGGAAAGUCGCACGGUACAGGGUGAUAGUCCCGUACACCAAAAUGCACAGGCUGUGAACUCGAUGAGUAGGGCGGGACACGUGACAUCCUGUCUGAAUAUGGGGGGACCAUCCUCCAAGGCUAAAUACUCCUGACUGACCGAUAGUGAACCAGUACCGUGAGGGAAAGGCGAAAAGAACCCCGGCGAGGGGAGUGAAAUAGAACCUGAAACCGUGUACGUACAAGCAGUGGGAGCACCUUCGUGGUGUGACUGCGUACCUUUUGUAUAAUGGGUCAGCGACUUAUAUUUUGUAGCAAGGUUAACCGAAUAGGGGAGCCGUAGGGAAACCGAGUCUUAACUAGGCGUCUAGUUGCAAGGUAUAGACCCGAAACCCGGUGAUCUAGCCAUGGGCAGGUUGAAGGUUGGGUAACACUAACUGGAGGACCGAACCGACUAAUGUUGAAAAAUUAGCGGAUGACUUGUGGCUGGGGGUGAAAGGCCAAUCAAACCGGGAGAUAGCUGGUUCUCCCCGAAAGCUAUUUAGGUAGCGCCUCGUGAACUCAUCUUCGGGGGUAGAGCACUGUUUCGGCUAGGGGGCCAUCCCGGCUUACCAAACCGAUGCAAACUCCGAAUACCGAAGAAUGUUAUCACGGGAGACACACGGCGGGUGCUAACGUCCGUCGUGAAGAGGGAAACAACCCAGACCGCCAGCUAAGGUCCCAAAGUCAUGGUUAAGUGGGAAACGAUGUGGGAAGGCACAGACAGCCAGGAUGUUGGCUUAGAAGCAGCCAUCAUUUAAAGAAAGCGUAAUAGCUCACUGGUCGAGUCGGCCUGCGCGGAAGAUGUAACGGGGCUAAACCAUGCACCGAAGCUGCGGCAGCGACACUUAGGUGUUGUUGGGUAGGGGAGCGUUCUGUAAGCCGUUGAAGGUGACCUGUGAGGGUUGCUGGAGGUAUCAGAAGUGCGAAUGCUGACAUAAGUAACGAUAAUGCGGGUGAAAAACCCGCACGCCGGAAGACCAAGGGUUCCUGUCCAACGUUAAUCGGGGCAGGGUGAGUCGACCCCUAAGGCGAGGCUGAAAAGCGUAGUCGAUGGGAAACAGGUUAAUAUUCCUGUACUUGGUGUUACUGCGAAGGGGGGACGGAGAAGGCUAGGCUGGCCGGGCGACGGUUGUCCCGGUUUAAGCGUGUAGGGGGAGUGACCAGGUAAAUCCGGUUGCUUAUCAACCCUGAGGCGUGAUGACGAUGCACCACGGUGCAGAAGCAGUUGAUGCCAUGCUUCCAGGAAAAGCCUCUAAGCAUCAGGUAACAUUAAAUCGUACCCCAAACCGACACAGGUGGUCAGGUAGAGAAUACUCAGGCGCUUGAGAGAACUCGGGUGAAGGAACUAGGCAAAAUGGUGCCGUAACUUCGGGAGAAGGCACGCUGGCGUUAGGUGAAAGGACUAGCUCCUGGAGCUGAAGCCAGUCGCAGAUACCAGCUGGCUGCAACUGUUUAAUAAAAACACAGCACUGUGCAAACACGAAAGUGGACGUAUACGGUGUGACGCCUGCCCGGUGCUGGAAGGUUAAUUGAUGGGGUCAGCCGCAAGGCGAAGCUCUUGAUCGAAGCCCCAGUAAACGGCGGCCGUAACUAUAACGGUCCUAAGGUAGCGAAAUUCCUUGUCGGGUAAGUUCCGACCUGCACGAAUGGCGUAAUGAUGGCCAGGCUGUCUCCACCCGAGACUCAGUGAAAUUGAACUCGCUGUGAAGAUGCAGUGUACCCGCGGCAAGACGGAAAGACCCCGUGAACCUUUACUAUAGCUUGACACUGAACAUUGAGCCUUGAUGUGUAGGAUAGGUGGGAGGCCUUGAAGUGUGGACGCCAGUCUGCAUGGAGCCAACCUUGAAAUACCACCCUUUAAUGUUUGAUGUUCUAACUCGGCCCCAUGAUCUGGGGUGAGGACAGUGUCUGGUGGGUAGUUUGACUGGGGCGGUCUCCUCCCAAAGAGUAACGGAGGAGCACGAAGGUUAGCUAAUCACGGUCGGACAUCGUGAGGUUAGUGCAAAGGCAUAAGCUAGCUUGACUGCGAGAGUGACGGCUCGAGCAGGUACGAAAGUAGGUCUUAGUGAUCCGGUGGUUCUGAAUGGAAGGGCCAUCGCUCAACGGAUAAAAGGUACUCCGGGGAUAACAGGCUGAUACCGCCCAAGAGUUCAUAUCGACGGCGGUGUUUGGCACCUCGAUGUCGGCUCAUCACAUCCUGGGGCUGAAGUAGGUCCCAAGGGUAUGGCUGUUCGCCAUUUAAAGUGGUACGCGAGCUGGGUUUAGAACGUCGUGAGACAGUUCGGUCCCUAUCUGCCGUGGGCGUUGGAAGAUUGAGAGGGGCUGCUCCUAGUACGAGAGGACCGGAGUGGACGAAUCACUGGUGUUCGGGUUGUCAUGCCAAUGGCAUUGCCCGGUAGCUAAAUUCGGAAGAGAUAACCGCUGAAAGCAUCUAAGCGGGAAACUUGCCUCGAGAUGAGUCUUCCCUGGGGCUUAAAGCCCCCUGAAGGAACGUUAAAGACUAUGACGUUGAUAGGCUGGGUGUGUAAGUGCAGCGAUGUAUUGAGCUAACCAGUACUAAUGAUCCGUGAGGCUUAACCUUACAACACC
rnacentral:rRNA from 1 species